rnacentral:sRNA from 1 species
UCCUAGCCCUGAUGGAAACGACAUACUUUUGUUCCGGGAUUCGGUACAAAAGAUAUAGUAGGCAGCAGGACACGAG